CCUAGACAAGUUUUCUACCUUUGUAGAUGACAUUGAUCAAAGAUUGAAAGAAAAAAAUUAAACGUUCAUGCAAUGCACGAGAUCAUUUAUGAUUAGUUUCAAGAUGUUGGGUUACCUCCAUAAUUGUUCGUUUUCCCAUAUUUCUUCAACCAUUCUUAUCAUAUGAGAGAUCCAAGAAAAUUUAUGUUUUGUCACCCAUUGGAUCAUGUGAGAGUGAGGAGCUAGGCACGGUAUACAUGUCAUGCGAAGACGAUGAAAGACCCGAAUCAAGAAUCAGAGUAUUCAACAUUCUCAUUGUAAAAAAAUAUGCUAUCAAGCAUUAGUUAUAAUUUUCCAUACACACCAAAUUUUUGUUAAUUCUUUCUAGCAUAAUUGAUAUGUUACAAAUAAUUCGUUCUUUUUUUUUAGUUUUAAUUGACAUUUUAG
rnacentral:lncRNA from 1 species